UACGUAGGGUGCAAGCGUUGUCCGGAAUUAUUGGGCGUAAAGGGCUCGUAGGCGGUCCGUCACGUCGGGAGUGAAAACUUGGGGAUUAACCCCAAGCCUGCUUCCGAUACGGGCGGACUAGAGGUAGGCAGGGGAGAACGGAAUUCCUGGUGUAGCGGUGAAAUGCGCAGAUAUCAGGAGGAACACCGGUGGCGAAGGCGGUUCUCUGGGCCUUACCUGACGCUGAGGAGCGAAAGCGUGGGGAGCAAACAGG
rnacentral:rRNA from 1 species